rnacentral:rRNA from 1 species
UCAGGAUGAACGCUAGCGACAGGCCUAACACAUGCAAGUCGAGGGGCAGCGCGGGAGAAGCUUGCUUUCCUGGCGGCGACCGGCGCACGGGUGCGUAACAGGUGUGCAAUCUGUCCAUAGUCGGGGAAUAGCCCAGCGAAAGUUGGAUUAAUGCUCCAUGUGAAUCGAAGCCGCAUGACUUUGAUUUGAAACGUAAGGACUAUGGGUGAGCACGCUUCUGAUUAGAUAGUUGGUGGGGUAACGGCUCACCAAGUCGACGAUCAGUAGGGGUUCUGAGAGGAAGGUCCCCCACAUUGGAACUGAGACACGGUCCAAACUCCUACGGGAGGCAGCAGUGAGGAAUAUUGGUCAAUGGGCGAGAGCCUGAACCAGCCAAGUCGCGUGAAGGAAUGAAGGUUCUAUGGAUUGUAAACUUCUUUUGUCCGAGGGUAAAAAAGGUCACGUGUGACUUCUUGCAAGUAUCGGACGAAUAAGCAUCGGCUAACUCCGUGCCAGCAGCAGC